ACUCAAAUGAAUUGACGGGGGCCCGCACAAGCAGCGGAGCGUGUGGUUUAAUUCGAGGCUACACGAAGAACCUUACCUGGGUUUGACAUCAUGGUAGUAGUGAAGCGAAAGCGGAACGACCUUCGGGAGCCAUGACAGGUGCUGCAUGGCUGUCGUCAGCUCGUGUCGUGAGAUGUUCGGUUAAGUCCGAAAACGAGCGCAACCCCCGGGUCUAGUUACAAGUGUCUAGACCGACUGCCCGUGACAAACGGGAGGAAGGUGGGGAUGACGUCAAGUCAGCAUGGCCUUUAUAUCCAGGGCUACACACACGCUACAAUGGCCGGUACAAUAGGUAGCGAAGCGGCGACGCGGAGCCAAUCCACCAAAGCCGGUCGUAGUUCGGAUUGCAGGCUGCAACUCGCCUGCAUGAAGCUGGAGUUGCUAGUAACCGCAGGUCAGCUAUACUGCGGUGAAUACGUUCCCGGGCCUUGCACACACCGCCCGU
rnacentral:rRNA from 1 species